CCAUGGUGAGACCUGAAAUGUUUGUGCCUCUAGGAUGGCAGAAGAGCUUUUCUUCACCCUGGGAAACCCAGCCUGAUGGCAGCGUGCCUGCUCCGAGGCAGCCUUCCAGCCCUCCUGCUCUGCCCUGCUCGUUUGUGUUGAGAUGUGAAGGCUCCGGCUGGCACCAGGGACUACAGAGAGGGGAUUUCACUUCAGUGUACUCCAUUUUCUUUUUAAGUAUAAGAAAACAACAUUUAAGUAUAAUAUGUACUACCAGAACUUUGCGUUCACAUCUUCGUUGUCUUCUCUUCUGAAUCUCUUUAUGAUAAUACCAGGCGAAUCCGUACUCCAAAAGGAUUCAGACUUGUUCUCUUUAACACACGAUAGAGGUCAUGGUGCCCGAAACAACAGAUAAAGGGCUGAACCCCAGAACAAGAGCAAGGCAGACUGGAGUUUCUGCGGCCCCACACUUCCUCCUCCGGCUAUUCUGCCGAGCUCCGCCCAGUGGGGAAAGCAUAGAGGAAGGAACACAAGUGCUGGGAUUUAUGAGGUGCUGAGCGUGUACAGCUUAGCCUGCAGAAGUGGCAAGUGUGACCCGUGUACGUGUCCUCUCACAAAUUUAAUCAGCAUUUGGAAACUCAUGUCUAUCGGGAUCGCAAAUCUGUGAUUUGGAGCAAACAUUAUAUGAAAGAAGUGGUAGAUGUUACUGUACAAUGAUAAAUUCAUGCUUGUUCAAAAGUUCAGCAUUGUUCAAAUUCUUGAAAACACACAUCCACACAUGCACACACACACACGCACGCACGCACACGCACCACGAACACACCUUAAGCCAAACAUGGUAAAGGGCUUCCCCUUUGAUCAUUAUUUUUAAUCCAGGAAUCCUACCAUAGUGUUUCAUUUAGUUUUUUUUACGUGGGAGUCAAGCUUGGAUCUAUUUACUAUCAUGGGAAAAUUUUAAAAGGUAUCAUUUCAGAAAUCCUAGAGACUCUGCCAAGCCAAAGGAGGACCUUCUUAUCCAUCCCUAACUCAACAAAGACUCAAUCCACUACCAUCUGGACCGCUCCAGUCUGGGCCUUGGCCUGCGUGCUCCAGUGCUCUCUUUGAGCUCCCCCUGGAGGAGAGAGCCCCCCACCAAAGGCCCUCAGUGUGUUCGGAGGGAAGGUGAGACCUUUGGCCAAAACGGAGUGGAACUGGGCUACCACGGCUGAGAACUAACAAUGGAAAGGAAAAUAAGAGCAACAUUUAGGUCUGGGCCCUGGAGCGUGGAAGUGGGGAGUCUGCGGAGGUACCCUCUUAUUUGGUUCAGAUGCUGGUGAAGACCUUGUAUGUGCAAAUGCCCUUAACUGGGAGAAGGAAGACCUGUCACCAGGGAGAAGGGAGCCUCAAUCCACCCCACCCACAGAGGUACCCGAGGAGAAAUCACCCUGCACACCCAGGCAGGUGCUGAAGAACUCUGAAGGAGCGGGGCACAGCCAGGCAUCCAGGGGAGGAGUCACUCUCAGCCCGGGCACCCAGGAAUCCAUCACAGUUGGGAGCCUUGGCCACCCUGGCGUAACUCAAGAGGUGCUAUGCACAGGGGAGAGGCAGAUGCACCACAAGGACCAACAGUGAGGUCCACAGACAGAAGCCCCAGAUGUGUCCAGCCCCCAGCCUUGCCUGUUCCUGCAGCUCUCAGCCUGGCAUUUGUUUCUCCCUACCCCUCCCUCUACAUCUGUCCUGUGUAUUGAGUGGGUGUUGAUGAGGAUGAGUGGUCUCCACAGUGUCCUUGCUGAACUUUCAAAAGAUACAACCAUCGUGCUCUUCCUGGGUAGAACAGAGCUGACAAAAGGUGCAGCUUCUCAGCCCGAGUACCUCGGGUCAGCAAAUACCCAGCCCCUGUUCUCUCUUCCUGUCUCCUUUCCUCUUAAUGGUUCAUCGUCAGUUAGGUCAGGAGGUGACGGCUGCGCACAGUAGGCUGACUUGAUGCACGGGUCCCAACUGUUGGGAGCAAUGCUACAUAAUUCUAGGGAAAAAUCAUUUGAGUAGGCCUAGAUCUC